rnacentral:lncRNA from 1 species
UACAAUAAGCCUAGGUUUCUGCAGACAUUCCGUGUCAGUAAGAUACGGACUCCGUUACAUAACAGUGGGAAGAAGACAUAACGAGGACCAUCGAUAUCAGAAAGAAGAAAGACAGCAACCAGCCACCCGGGACCACUGCCUUUUCCCUUCGAGAGUUGCCGUGCUUGAAUUUCCCUUGCUGCCACUUGUCAGGUGUAUCAUUCGUAUCGACCACAGCUCGUUGUUCACGGCUAGCUUUCCUCCAUCUCCUGCGACGUUGAUACCUCUCCUGAUGAAUGGGCUUGAACACUUGCAGCCACCCACGGAAUGUAUUCUUUGUCUCGAUUGGCUUCUCACAUGUUUCAGAUGUUGCCUUUGAUCUUCUUUGGUCGCUGGCAUCUCCAAGCAUCCUUUCUUUUCGUAUCAGUGUUGAUGGCA